rnacentral:SRP_RNA from 1 species
GACGGGCCUCCUCGCAUGGUGGUGCGGUCAACUGGUCAGGUCGGGAACGAAGCAGCCACAGCCGUUUUCUACCAGUGCCGAGGGUCGGGCUCGUCACC